rnacentral:rRNA from 1 species
GUGAGGAAUAUUGGUCAAUGGACGAGAGUCUGAACCAGCCAAGUCGCGUGAAGGAAGACGGUUCUAUGAAUUGUAAACUUCUUUUGUGCAGGAAUAAAGUGGGUUACGUGUAACCUUUUGUCUGUACUGUACGAAUAAGGAUCGGCUAACUCCGUGCCAGCAGCCGCGGUAAUACGGAGGAUCCGAGCGUUAUCCGCAUUUAUUGGGUUUAAAGGCUGCGUAGGUGGAUUGAUAAGUCAGCGGUGAAAGUUUGCAGCUUAAAAGUAAAAUUGCAGUUGAAACUGUCGGUCUUGAGUGCAAAUGAGGUAGGCGGAAUGUGUUGUGUAGCGGUGAAAUGCUUAGAUAUAACACAGAACUCCGAUUGCGAAGGCAGCUUACUGGGAUGCAACUGACACUGAUGCACGAAAGCGUGGGUAUCAAACAGGAUUAGAUACCCUAGUAGUCC